AUACAUCACCCGAUGAUGAAGGAGUCGGGUUACUGAAUAAGAGUCGCGAGAGGACUAACAGUCACGAAUCUGAAAAACAGUAAAUGGAGACUGUCAGUCUCGAGAGUGAGUUAAAAUCAUAUAUCUAUAACAGUUUCAAAUAUCUCAAUGUCACCUUAUUUAAUUUUAAAAUAAUUAAUAAAUCACGUGAACCAUACGUGUCAUGUUAAAACAUAUAUGUCAUGCCAUGCUUAAACAAAAUUUAUUCCACAUGUAACGGGACGGAGUACUUCAGUAGAACUCUAAUCCCAACUCUAAAAUCUCGAUUAUUUCAACACUUAUGUCUCAACUAACCUCAACUCUAUCAUCUCAAACCUCUCAUUCCAACAGGACUGGCGCCCAGAGAGCAAAGCUCGACCAGGGACCUUACCUCCAGUCCGGUCACUUAACUCUCAGCCUUAGCCUUUCGGCUCUCUUAUCCAAUAAGACUGGCGCCCAGAGAGCUUAGCUCGACCAGGGACCUUACCUCCAGUCUGGUCACUUAAAUUUCCAAAUAAGCCGGCGCCCAGAGAGCAAUGCUCGACCAGGGACCUUUACUCCGGCAACCACACUCUACUAAGCCCAGAGAGCGAUGCUCGACUAGGGCAGGUCCUAAUCUUUCUUUCUUAAAAUUUUUACCUCUUUACCCUUUCCCUAUCUCUCUCAGAUUAUAUUGGGACACUCAUCCAACUCCUAUGUUCUACUGCCGUCCCAUCCUGAGUCAUCAUGCAAUAUUAAAAUUGGUAAUAAAGGAAAAACAUAUUUAAAUAGUAAUUAAAAGCAUCAUGCAAAUGAUAAUAAUAAUAAUUAAAUGAAAAAUUGAAAUUGCAAAUAAAUAUUCACAGUAGCAAAUAAAAUUUUAUGCAUGACACGUGCGUAAGCGAUAUAUGACUUUAACUCACAGGUUUGGCGACCUCCUAGCUCUGCUCCGGUGCCUCGGUAGGAGCGAGCCGAACGAACGGACAAUCGAGACGCUCGAUCGCUCGGUCGACUCGCCUCCGGCCGCCGGAGUCCGAUCGACGAUCCGAACACACCAUCGAACUCACAACGACGCGCUGAAG
rnacentral:lncRNA from 1 species